UUUGAUCAAAAUUACACAUGCAAGCAUCAGCACGCCAGUGAGAAUGCCCUAUAAAGCAUCUAGGAGCAGGUAUCAGGCACAAUCUUUAGCCCAAAACACCUUGCUACGCCACACCCACACGGGCACCCAGCAGUGAUAAAUAUUAAGCAAUGAGUGAAAGCCAACUCAAGCUCGACUUAGUUAUGAUCAUUAGGGCCGGUAAAUCUCGUGCCAGCCACCGCGGUUAUACGAGAGGCCCAAAACAGCAGACCCCGGCGUAAAUUGUGGCUAGAGUAAUUCUUAAAGAUAUGAGAAAUAAACGAACCCCAAUCGUAAAACCUGGGCUAAAAGAAACACACCCUCCCAACUAUAAAGUAACUUGAACCCACGAAAACUAAGAAACAAACUAGGAUUAGAUACCCUACUAUGCUUAGUUGUUAACACGACACUAAAAACAUGUGUCCGCCAGAGAAUUACACGCGAAAAGCUUAAAACUCAAAGGACUUGGCGGUGCUUCGUAUUCGUCUUAGAGGAGCCUGUCCUAUAAUCGAUAACCCACGUUUUACCUCACCAUCUUUUGUCUAAACAGCUUAUAUACCGCCGUCACAAACUUACCCCAUGAGGGUUCAACAGUAAAUAAAAAAGUAAUGCACUAACACGUCAGGUCAAGGUGUAGCUAAUAAGAUGGAAGAGAUGGGCUACAUUUUCUAAAACAGAACAUACGGCAAAGAACAUUGAAACAACGUUCUCAAAGGUGGAUUUAAUAGUAAGAUAGAAAAGAAAAUCUAUCUAAAACUCGCUCCGAAGCGCGCACACACCGCCCGUCACCCUCCUCAACU
rnacentral:rRNA from 1 species